GAAAUGCGAUAAGUAAUGUGAAUUGCAGAAUUCAGUGAAUCAUCGAAUUUUUGAACGCAUAUUGCGCCCUUUGGCAUUCCGAAGGGCAUACCUGUUCGAGCGUCAUUACACCUCUCAAACCUAGGUUUGAUGUUGGGCAUUGCUGUUAGGGCAUGCCUAAAAAUUAGCGAUGGUAACCUACAACCACAGGCGCACAGAUGUCGCAAUGAUGGAAGUUGGCCACCAGUCUUUAACUAAAUUUCUGAAUGUUGACCUCGGAUCAGGUAGGGAUACCCGCUGAACUUAA
rnacentral:misc_RNA from 1 species